UGGGGACAUAAUGGGAUUCCAACCAGACAAUGGGCUAAUAACUUCAGCUCAUACCUUGGAUGUUUGAUACGGAGGAGUGAUAAUGUGAAUCCCUAUUACGAGGCUUGGGAGCAUCCAUUUCAUGUCCUGGAGAGUAUAUAUCGAGAUUGUUGGAGAUAUUUCAACAUCGAAGACAAUCCCGUAGGGUGGGAAUUUUUAUUUGGAUACCAGGGAAAGUUCAAGCAUUCUCUUCGGGAGUGGAGACAUGAGAUAAAGAAGAAAUGCUUUGAUUGUUUCACUCACAACUGGGAGAGGAUAUACAAGCGAGAUAAGAGGGUUGACCCUGAGCACUUAGCUGCACUUAUAAUAUUGUGGGGCCAAGAGCAGCACCAGGAAAAAUGUAGGAGAAAUAAACUUAAUCGAUGAAAAAAAGAUUACGAUCAUCAUACGGGGACUACUUCAUUUGCCCAGAUUGAG